AUUUGUAAAAGCUCGAGUUUUCACGGGCUGCGCCGAGGUAAUCCGUUUAACUUUGAACAUUUCAAUCUCAACUAUAUAAGUGUCGAAGUCGACGGACAGUCGUAUCCCGCACAAGCCUACCGACCAAAUUUCGCCACGGGUGAUUAUUUGCAAUCAUAUGACGGUCUGUUGGAGACGCUCGGCCGCUUGCACGCACCGGACGGGGCGCUGCCUUUCGACCGUAAAGCAUUUGCGGAAGGAUUUGCUAUUUGGGGAUUCGAUCUGACACCUUCACGGACAGGCCGGGGACCGAUGAGCACCGUGCGCCAAGGAAAUCUAUCAAUCCGCCUGCAGUUCGCCGCCCAAUUAACUGAACCAAUUAUGGCCAUUACGAUGAUGGUGUGGGAUAAUAUUAUUGAAGUCAAUUCACAUCGCCAGCUAAUUGCGGAUUUUACAGCGUAAAAACCUAACGGGAAAAUUUGGUCAACAGGAAGACCGAUCCAACACGGAUAUGGUGGAAAAGAAAGAGGUAUUCCAUGAUUACUUGUUUUCUAACAAGUACGAAGUCGCCGGGUUCGAUUUGGUCACCGAUGAAGUUAUGGCAGUUCAAUACCGCUCCAAGAAGGACUACAUUGCGACGAGCAAAAAAACCAAUGUUGUUAUCGCAGCUUUUACGACUGCGUACGCACGGCUACACUUAUUAAAAUUCAUGGAAAUGGUUGGAGACCGUUUGUUAUACCACGAUACAGACAGCAUUUUCUACAUCCAUAGAGACGAUUUGCCCGAUCCACCAACGGGAACGUGCUUGGGUGAUUUGUCCUCGUCUUUACAGCCUGACGAGUACAUUGACGAAUUUGUAGCGCUUGGACCAAAAAGCUAUGCUUACCGGACAAAUACUGGAUGUGAAACGAUAAAAGUCAAGGGAUUUACGUUGACACGGCAAGCGAAAAAACAGCUAAACCUGGAAAGCCUGAAAGAGAUGCUACUGGAAAGCCUGGCACCACCGGACCAGCCAAGCGGAAUUACCGUGAAUUAUCCGUUCAACAUAACACGCAAUAAGCGCAAGCUGGAAGUUUCGUCGGCGGAAAUUAACAAACGAUUUAAACUUACUUACUCAAAACGUAGAAUUGUUGACUCUGAUUUUAACACUCGCCCAUGGGGUGAUGUUUCGAUUGAGUAAAUCAUCAACUUCCAGUGCGGUGCAAUUGUUAAUAAAGGUCCUGACACUGUGGCUUGCUCCGAAAAAUGCUUCCAGCAGUAUUAUAAGAAUUAACAUAACAAUAAUGCAAGUCCCCACCACGGCUUCGCAAAAGUUUUUUUUACACACAAUGCGCGCCAUUGUAACAAAAGUCACUUGUUUUUUUUUUCUAGAUUUUAUGCGUUCCGUGGUGCCUUUAAUACUUACUUCCUCCCGAAAGACUGUAAUUAGUUAACUAUUGUAUAAAAUUUUAACUACAUAUAUAUAUAUAUAUAUAGUAUUAUAGUAUGCACUAUGGACAUACACUAUACAAUUGUGAUGACUCAUAUUCUGGAGUUGGGAGCUGUAGUCAUAAAGUCCAACCGGGAAUUGCAGCUGGAAAGUGCAGCUCCCAACUCCAGUUUAUGACGUAACCGACGCCAUUUUAUGUUUAUACAAUAUACUGUUUCUUCUUAUCUGGCAUAUUAUCUUGCAAACAUCGGAACAUCUGAAGUUUUUCUGGGUUGUGCGAUUGUAGCCGGCAGGAAGGUUGACGGGUUGAUGGUUGACGCUCAAUGAAGGUCAUCAACCUUUCUGCCAGAGCUCAUCAACCUUUCUCUAAAGGUCAUCAACCUUUCUGUAAAGGUUAUCAACCUUUCUGAAAGGUCAUCAACCUUUCUGUAAAGGUUAUCAACCUUCUAAAAGGUCAUCAACUUUUCUGUAAAGGUCAUCAACCUUUCUGCCGGCGGUGUCUAUUGAUCUUAUUGUGCUCAUUGUACUUUAUUGUGCAACACAAUUAUUUCGCUGUCGGUUAAGACAUAAUAUUAUAUCGACUGUUCGUAGUUCGUACGUUGCGUCUGCAUGUUUGAUCGUAGGUAAGCGGUUUAACUUAUAAGGCAAUACCGAUGGUGAAAACUGUGACAGACAACUUUUGCAGUUGCGCAAAAGCUUGAUGUGAUGAAUGGGUGCCGACACCGGUUCGGCAGAAAGGUUGAUGCGUCAAUGAUUCUGUACUUGUCAUAUUAUUUUUUUCGUGGCAGUUGUGCUCAUUGUAAGUCACUGUUGUCGUCAGUUCAAGGUGGAUUCAGUGAACUGCUUCGCUUGCUUAUUCAACAUCCAAGCCAGGUGUUUAAAAAAACCAUUAAUUAAUUUGCUUUUCAACGAGCUAGAGGAACGAUAAGCAAAUGGAGCUACAAUGGGUGCAUUGGCGUCGUUGAUAGGAGUAAUGGAUACCGUUGGGAGAUUCAUGGAUAACCUCUGGCAGAAAGAUGGAUGUCCUAUGGCAGAAAACUGGAUGUCCUCUCUAGUAAGGCAGAUGGUCUCCGGCAGAAAGUAAAUAGCCUUUCCAAAAAUGUGAAUAAUCCUCGGCAAAGAUGUGGAUUACCACUGGUGGAAAGGUGGAUCACUUCGGCAGAAAGGUUGAUAACCUAAAGAAAAAGGUUGAUGACCUUUAGAGAAAGGUUGAUGAGCUCUGGCAGAAAGGUUGAUGACCUUUAGAGAAAGGUUGAUGAGCUCUGGAAGAAAGGUUGAUGACCUUUAGAGAAAGGUUGAUGCGCUCUGGCAGAAAGGUUGAUGACCUUCAUUGAACGUCAACCAUCAACCUGUCAACCUUUCUGCCGGCUACAUGCGAUAAACUUCACACCGCUAAUUUUGCUGGAGGGUGUCCACUAUAUUGCCACCGUUCACUGUCGGCGUUCAGCGCAAUGCCUGCAGCUGGCAAUGAAACACCUGGACGGGUAAUCGCAGCACUACGCGAUUUCACGAUUGCUGCCCGAGUGCCUCCAACAAACAACCACGGAAAUUCUGAAAAUGGCUGGAUUUAAACGUAGAUGUUCAACUGCAGGAGGCUUCAGCAACUAACUAACAUGUUUGCGUAAUAUGGACAUUACAAGAAACAGCCUCGGCUUCGCCUCCGCGUUUCUUGGGUUCUAAACUCCUUGGCCGGUUUACGGAUUGUUAACUUAGAACGGAUAAAUCUGAAGAGCCCGACAACAAAAAUUUUAUAAAAAAAAUGGAUGUUUUGGUUUCGUGCAGUCGAACGCAGUUACUUUGACUUUACAGAUCAUUUUUUGUUAAAUUUUCUUAGCGAAAAACCAUCCGGAUCUAAUCACCCACGAGAGUAUCACAUUGCAAACUAAAAGGACGCUAAGACUAGACAGUGGUGCUAGAUAGGUCACCCAUUAAGAACUUAGCAGGGCCUGCUCUAUUUUGCUCAGUAAUAUUGCAGUUUGGUCAUACGUUCACCUAACGGGUUCUGUGCACUGGAUAGCUUUGGUAGCUCGGUCACCCACCUACCUAACGGGAUCUAUGCAAAGGACAGUACUCGUAACUCGGUCACUAGAUCACUUAACGGAGUUUAUGCGCUGGACAGUAGUGCUAGCUCGCUCAUUAGAUCACUUAACGGAGUUUGUGCACUGGACAGUAGUGGUACCUCGGUCACUAGAUCACUUAACGGAGUUCGUGCAUUGGACAGUAGUGGUAGCUCGGUCACGCGUUCACCUAACGGGCUCUGUGCACUGGACAGUAUUGGUAGCUUGGUCACCCAUCUACCUAACGGGAUCUAUGCACUGGACAGUAUUGAUAGCUCGGUCACCCAUCUAUCUAACGGGAUCUAUGCAUUGGACAGUAGUGGUAGCUCGGUCACGCCUUCCCCUAACGGGCUCUGUGCACUGGACAGUAUUGGUAGCUCGGUCAUCCAUCUUCCUAACGGGAUCUAAGCACUGGACAGUAGUGGUAGCUCGGUCACGCGUUCACCUAACGGGCUCUGUGCACUGGACAGUAAUGGUAGCUUGGUCACCCAUCUACCUAACGGGAUCUAUGCACUGGACAGUAUUGGUAGCUCGGUCACCCAUCUACCUAACGGGAUCUAUGCACUGGACAGUAGUGGUAGCUCGGUCACGCCUUCACCUAACGGGCUCUGUGCACUGGACAGUAUUGGUAGCUCGGUCAUCCAUCUACCUAACGGGCUCUGUGCGCUGGGCAGUAUUGGUAGCUCGGUCACCCAUCUUCCUAACGAGAUCUAUGCACUGGACAGUAGUGGUAUCUCGGUACUCUUUCACCUAACGGGCUCUGGGCACUGGACAGUGGUGGUAGCUCGGUCACGUACUCACCUAGCGAUUUUUUGACGCACUCAAUCACUAGGUGAGUAACUGACCGAGCUCAACCUGUCCAGUAACAAAUAUCGCUAGGUAAAGAGAAAAAUCGCUAGGUGAGGAUGUGACCCUGCUACAACUACUGUCCAGUGCACAGAGCCCGGUAGGUGAGCAAGAGCAAAGCCCGCUCGAUGAUUCACUCACCUAGAAAUUCCGCUCAGUGGGCAGUAAUGGUGUUUCGGUCACUCACUUGUCUAGUGAUUUUUCUUACUGGUCAGUGGUGGUAGCUCGGUCACCCACUCACCUAGAGAUUCCGCUCAGUGGUCGGUGAUAGUGUUUUGGUCACUCACUCGUCCAGUGAUUUUUCGUAUUGAUUUUAUAUUUGAUAUUUUUACAUUUUAUAUUGGUUUAUUUUAAACGUGUUUCGAGCUCGGCAACUCCGGCAGCAAUGUUUGAAUAACGCGAGUGUUUGAAUAAGUACAAUAAUUUAUUUAUUUUUCGGUUUAAUUAGUGUGAUAAUUAUGUCAAUUGGUAUUUUGUAUUGUAUCUAGGCAAAUAUUUCUAAGUUUCAAGGUGACCUUUAAGAUGGGUUGGAUCAAUCUGGUCUUGAUGGCGGCUUGAUGCCGGCUCGAUAUUUUCAUAAAAAAACACAUGCCGGCCACUUCUGAACUAUCCCGGAUCUAAUGGCGUUGUCCAUUUUUCCAGAAGUUUUAUGGUUAUAGAGAUCUCAAAACUAUGGGGCGCCGCGCGUAGUAUAGAUCUUGUACUUAAUAAAUAAAAGAUUUUUCAGUUAUUCGGUUCUACGAUAUAAUUCUGUACAUAAAUCUAUGAUCUAUGCUGUAUGUAUUAUUCACGGUCAAUUCUAUGGUAUAGGUACAACACAUCAUUCUGCGCUAAGUUUUUGCGGAUAAAAUGAUGAAAUAAUCAUUAUCGGUAACUUCAUACUCGUUUACCAUCGGAUCUCUUUAUUUUUUCUUAUAUGCAUUAAUAAAAUCCAGCCAAAGCGAAAGCAGAGUAUUGAUAAAGUUAAGUGAAUGCGCCACUUGCUGUAUUUAUUUACCUGCUGACUUCCGUCAGCAGAGCUGAGAGUAAGCGACUACAUGUAUGUGCCUUUUGUCGCUCAGUUUGUAUGUUUUCGAGCAUCCGCCUGCAGAGAAGGUUUUUUGUCGGUCUGACACUGCACGGCUUUCACAUGCUUUAUGCACAGGAAAUCGCAAUAAAUAUCGACAAUUGACUUUUGCUGCAAUGUUUCUGAUGCAAGAAAUGCAGAACAAAACUCGGAGUGAUUCCCGCUUCUGCAAGAAGACAGCGUCGCAUACGCUGACGAAUCAACCGGCUCGUACAAGCAGCAAAACGCGGAAAAUACAUAAUUUAAUUUCCAAUCCUACUCAUUUUAUUGCCAUGUACUAGCACGUAAGGUACCUUGCGCGAUUAUAGAAGUGGUAAUGAACUUGAACGAUGAUGAUGCCGACGUGCCCUGGGGCUAAUCGACACGUUUCUUGCUCGUUCACUCAUAUCCAGGUUCUGUACGAGUACCGAGAAACCACAGCUGCCGUACCGUCUGCGCCAGCAAAUUCAUUACGAGGUGUCAACAGAACAAUAGUGUGGCCAGUGGCGAACACUUUUGCACGUCGGUGAAAUGACUGUACACCUGAUUGAAAGGAUGUCUGGGUUGUCGGUUAUCACGUUCAAACGUAACGUGACAAACGUCUGACGAUCUUUUAACUAGCUUUCAACUUCCGGGCAUCACAUUCUGCAGUAUAAGUAAGCGUCAAACUGGUGCAUCCACCACUUAAAUCACCAACACCAAUAGUGAAAAUUUCUCUUUUUUAUGCCCUUAAUACGAUUUCGGUAAACGACUUUUUGCGGUUGAAAGUUUGACUUUGGGAUUGACAGUACCAGAACUCAAGCGGAAAAAAUGGCCUGUAUCAUGAAAGACUACAAAACGGCAGUCGGUGCUGGCUCACCGUCAGUGAAUUCCAGAGAUGGUUUCUACACUUCGGAUUAUUAUUAGAGAUUUAAUUGAUUACACUUCAACUGGAACUGCACUUCUCUACGUCUGUAAUUCGUCAGCAUCAGAAUAAUUGCAUUGUUUGGUGCUGGUAAAGCAAUAGUUUGACGUUUGACGAACAUUUAAUGAUAUUAGGAACAACGAGGAUGUUUUUUUAGUUUUCAGAUUGGCUGAUCGGGAAUUACAAGUGCCCGAUGUUGUUUUUCUUGGCAGCUCUGCUGUGACUUUGUGUAACCAAUAUUAAAAAGCUCAUCGUUUGACGACUGAACUUUCGCCCGGUUUAGACAGCUGAUCGACGUGAUGCACAGUAUAUAGGGGGCAAAAGCAGGCAUCUUCCACCGUUCCCCUGUACUGCUGCCGUCAGCAGGCUGGAGUUACGUUGUGGCUGAACAAGGCGCUUAUGUACCGCGCCUGAUUUAACCCUAUGUAUUGCUGUAACGUCACACUCAACGCGGCAGCAGUACAGGGGAACGGUGGAACGCGUUUACUUUCGCCCCUUAUAUGUGCACUGUGCACAUGACUGAAACAAUGAUCUACUGACGGUUUGUCUCGUUCAGAAAUAGCGUGAAAAAAGUCUGAUGGGCACUAAGCAAACACUAAUUAUUCGCACCUGCAUUGACGUAUUUCAAUCCGUAAACUUCCCGUCAAUCAUAAUUUUCCGUGCGUCGCCCUCCUGCUGAUUCAAGAUGACAGCAAAAUAAUUCUGAUCUUCGUCACCAUUGUCCACACUUGGCUGAUGUCCGGCUUCGUUCAUUGUGUCCUCUACGACUACGAGUAAUAUGGAAGCAACUCCUGGGAUAGGUGCGCUGCAGGCUAGCCG